rnacentral:rRNA from 1 species
AACGAACGCUGGCGGCGCGCCUAAUACAUGCAAGUCGAGCGAGAAGACGUAGCAAUACGUUUGUAAAGCGGCGAACGGGUGAGGAAUGCAUGGGUAACCUACCCUCGAGUGGGGAAUAACUAGCCGAAAGGUUAGCUAAUACCGCGUACGCUCCUUGGACUUCGGUUCAGGGAGGAAAGCGAUACCGUGGGUAUCGCGCUCUUGGAUGGGCUCAUGUCCUAUCAGCUUGUUGGGAGGUAACGGCUCACCAAGGCUUCGACGGGUAGCUGGUCUGAGAGGACGAUCAGCCACACUGGCACUGCGACACGGGCCAGACCUCCGUACGGGGAGGCAGCAAGUAAGGAAUAUUGCGCAAGUGGGACGAAAGCCUGACGCAGCGACGCCGCGGUGGGGGAG